UUUUGAAGGUAUUGCAAGUGUGAGAUGCCAUAUAACCCGGAUGACCUCAUGGUACAAUGUGAAGGGUGCAAGGAUUGGUAUCAUCCUGCCUGUAUGGGCAUGACUAUUGAAGAA